CUCACUACCAUAUAGCAUACUUGGCAUGAAUACAUAUUUUGAAAUUUAAGUUUGUCUCACCAUCUUGUUUUCUAGUCCCUCAAUCUCACACAAUGUCAAAAAUUGCAAUUCAAAGAUAAAGAGCAAGCAAUUAGAGUAUUGCUACACCAUAAUUGAGUAUUGUUCUUUUAUACUAUUUCUCAUUUAAUGUGGGGAUGAGGUUUUGGGACAUGAAAUGCUUUAUAAACAAACUUUGCAAGACUUUCUGCAAGCCCACUGCAUCUGUCAUCAAUAGUCCAUUAGCAUAUCAUUAUCAGAUGGCAUAAUAUAUCACUUUCCACCUCCCCUCAUCUAAAUUGUAAGAAAAUUUUUUAGGUAAAUCAAUCUUCGUUUUGGGGUAGUCAAGGAGAAAAGGACACUGUUAGAUGGAGGGAACUGAAAAAUUUUUUCUAGAACCUUAAUCCUCUUUGUUGGUUUGAUUGAUUGCUUAUCUUCAAUAUCACUUUAAAAUCCUGGGCACGGUUUUGGUUGCAAUUAGGGUCAUGGAAACGAAAGAGAA
rnacentral:misc_RNA from 1 species